UGCAGUCGAGCGGAACGAUCCUAGCUUGCUAGGAGGCGUCGAGCGGCGGACGGGUGAGUAACGCAUAGGAAUCUACCCGGUAGUGGGGGAUAACCUGAGGAAACUCAGGCUAAUACCGCAUACGUCCUACGGGAGAAAGGGGGCUUAGGCUCCCGCUAUUGGAUGAGCCUAUGCCGGAUUAGCUGGUUGGUGAGGUAAUGGCUCACCAAGGCGACGAUCCGUAGCUGGUCUGAGAGGAUGAUCAGCCACAUCGGGACUGAGACACGGCCCGAACUCCUACAGGAGGCAGCAGUGGGGAAUAUUGGACAAUGGGGGCAACCCUGAUCCAGCCAUGCCACGUGUGUUAAGAAGGCCCUCUGGUUGGAAUGACUUUCAACAAUGAAGAACACCUGGUGGUUA
rnacentral:rRNA from 1 species